CCGCUGGUGGUUCAGUGGUAGAAUUCUCGCCUGCCACGUGGGAGACCGGGGUUCGAUUCCCCGCUAGCGCA
rnacentral:tRNA from 1 species